rnacentral:rRNA from 1 species
AGUGAACGCUGGCGGUAGGCCUAACACAUGCAAGUCGAACGGCAGCACAGUAAGAGCUUGCUCUUACGGGUGGCGAGUGGCGGACGGGUGAGGAAUACAUCGGAAUCUACUUUUUCGUGGGGGAUAACGUAGGGAAACUUACGCUAAUACCUCAUACGACCUACGGGUGAAAGCAGGGGAUCUUCGGACCUUGCGCGAUUGAAUGAGCCGAUGUCGGAUUAGCUAGUUGGCGGGGUAAAGGCCCACCAAGGCGACGAUCCGUAGCUGGUCUGAGAGGAUGAUCAGCCACACUGGAACUGAGACACGGUCCAGACUCCUACGGGAGGCAGCAGUGGGGAAUAUUGGACAAUGGGCGCAAGCCUGAUCCAGCCAUACCGCGUGAGUGAAGAAGGCCUUCGGGUUGUAAAGCCCUUUUGUUGGGAAAGAAAAGCAGCAGGUUAAUACCCCGCUGUUCUGACGGUACCCAAAGAAUAAGCACCGGCUAACUUCGUG